UCCUAUAGUGUCUCUUAGGUUGAAAUUAGAAUGUGUCAUAUAGAAUUGGAUCGUUCUGGUAUUCAGCAGUAAGUAAGUCUGUUUAACUUGGUUGUCAUCUCCUAUGUUAUUAUCUUUCAAAUGAUUUGAGUUGUAACAUAUCAUAUUACCUUAUGUUUGGUUACCUGUCUCUCUACCACUUCCUUGGAUUAGUUGAUGUGAGUAUUUGAGUUACCUUAUUUGUCUCUCUACUGAACAGUAUGUUAGUAGAUGUCCUUCUGCCUUAAAUAUGAAAAGGGAGAUGUGAGUUUAUCUUUACCUUUACCUGAAGUGAGUUUAGCUUUAUCUUUACCUUGAGUUUAUCUCAUACCUUUACCUUGAUGAGUUUAUCUCUUAUCUAUAUCUUGAUUGAAUAUAUAUCUUAUCUUUAUCUUGAUUAUUAUAAAGUCCUAAGAAUCUGUCCUUCUCUGUGCUUGUCGUGAGUAAAGAAUUGGACCACGUCAAUAGUACAGUUUAGGUAUUACAGUUGGGAUUUUAUUAUCUUUUACCUUGUGCAUACCACAAGUAGAUGUGGGCUUGCAAUUAUCUUUUUAUACCUUUAGCAUACCCUAUACCAUGAGUAUAGUGGGCUUGCUAGUAUCUUUAUCUAGAUUGUGUCUUCCUACCGUUAUGAAAGCGAGUAGAUGUUAUGGAUUAUCGCUUACCUUGAGUUUUAGAUGUUGUUGAUAUCCAGAACCAUAUCAUAUAUGUUUAGGUUUGUAGUAAUGUAGUUUCAACUAGUCCUGAUGAAUUCGUCCCUCAUUGAACUCUUGGGUGAUUAAUAGAAUCUGUUCGCUCUAGUGUCAAUGUUGGGUAAAGUUGAUAGGAUGUGUUGUAGUUUGAUUGUUGUGUAUGGUUCUUGGUAAUAUUGUGUUAGAGGUUGUUAAUAAACACCUGUAAUUUAGUUUUAAUAAUGAUUUACUAACACAUGAGAAUGUAGAUAGUAAGUAGUGUUAAGAGUUGACUUACUCUAUAAGGUUGUAUAAUUAUAUUUAGAAUGUAAGUGAUUAACGCGUAAUUAUUUGUUUUUCUCUAUCUUUGGGUUUACUAAAUUAAAGUAAAUUAUCUUGUUGUAUCAGUUACACAUCUCUUUUAUGUUUUAUACUUUCUGUAUUACUGGCUGUAUACUGGCUGUAUUACUUCGUCUCGGUUUUUUGUUCCGUCUCCUCCGCAAAUACUACGACUGUUGAGCUUACCAUCAUUAUGUUUUUAUACCACAACGUUACUCCUUUACCGUGUCCAUCCUCAGGUUCGCCCUAGCGUCAGUCCGUUCUGGAAAAUAAAAAAAAAGGAAACUUCUAGAAGUUUUCCUUUUUUUGUUGGAGAUGAGGGAGAAUGUAACGGUUACCCGUUGCCCUUCAAUAAUUUUUCUUCGCCCGCCUAUGGCGACUGAGCAACCAACAGAGGUCGCUCCUCGGACUCGCUUGGCGCUGGGCAAGAUCGUAAGCGAGGGAUUUUAGUGUGGUCAGUAUACUCGUCGCGGACACGUCUGAGAUUUUAUUCUCAUUGUUUGUGACGGAAUUGAAACCAAAUGAAAUGUAACUAAAAGGAAAUCGAACGCCUAAUACAUGUGGGAAAACUAAUAAAUUAAACUUGAAUACAUCUGGAAACAUACUCAUAUAAAAGAAUUAUAUUUCACGCAACGCGACGUGUCCGCUGUUUCAAUUCCGUUACAUCCUCAUUCAGUAACUUAGCCACAGUCAAUUAGUGGUUUAAUCAUUUAGUUACCUUACCUCACUUAAAGUAUGUACCAGCAAUAUUAUUAGCAACUUUGCCAUGGUUCACUCAUAGAGUGUGCUGUUUUUGUUGAAGAAAACCACUACCUGAGUUGACAACAUCCAGGAUUCUCCAAUAAGACUUACCCACCACAGCAGCCAACUAGCUUUGUUGUGCCAAAAGGAUUUUUCCUAAGGACUUUCAUUUUUUUAACCAUCGGCUGUUGUAUAAGAUAAGUUCUUAUUUACUUUAAUUAUUUACUUUAGGUAAUCUAGAUUUGUUACUCUGUAAACUAAUUGUAUAUAUACAAAUAGGUGAACUAAGUGGUACAUAUUUUCGGGAUAGAUAGGUUUUAGGUCGUUGUUUUUUUUUCUUUCUUUGGUUCUAUAUAAUUAGUAAUUUGCUUAAAUAAAUCAAAUCAGGUCUUCCUUUUUAAUAAUAACUAUAAAUCAUUGUAUCUUAAAAUUUAAUAGGAAAUCGGGGGUAAACUUUUGUCGAGGUUUUAAAAUAGGGAAUAUGUCUUGAAGGUUUUUACAUUGUAUAUAGAGUCACUGACCCACUCAUUUAUAUAAGUAAUUUUGCUAGGUGAGAUACAUUUUUUUUGCAACCGUAGCUGUUAUUGUAGUUUACCUAACUCACUCUAGGCUAGUUCAAUUUAGGAAAUACUUACUAACUUUUUAGUUGUAAGGACGUAGUGCUAUUCUGACGGACUUUUGAUUUGGAUUUUGAUUUUAAUACCUUUGCUUGGCCAGUGAUAGUGGAUAAUUGCUUGUUAAGUGGCCUUUGCGGUCCUAUUUGAUUUUUCCCCAUCCACUAUCACUGUUAUUACGUUGCGUUAUAUGUAAAUUGUUAAAAUUUAACAUUUAUUGUUAAUAUAUUUGUAUGUAUUAA